CCUGCUGCAGUCCUCACAUUAGAGGGAAUCCUGUCAUGUAAAGUCAUGAUUAACAGGUUAGCACUGGAAGGGGAUGAGCAGGAGAAAUUUCUUUGCCAGAAGUUGUGUAAGCCUAAAAAUGAUUUACAAUUGGAUGACUUCAAUUAUCAUGUGAAGAUUCACCUUCUAGAUCUCAUAAAAGAAAAUUCUUAGAGUGUUAUGGAUACACAUCCCCCCCCCCAAAAAAAUGAGGGACAUCAACAAAGCAUGCCUAAUUGAGUAGGAGGGAAAGACUGUGGUAAAUCCAAACUAUGCUCAUUUGGGACAUUAAAGUACUAGAUUCUAGGAGUAUAUUUAGCCAAGGAAGAUUCUGCAUCGUAGUGUGACAUUGUAUGUAGUUUGACAAAGUUGUGUCUUCAAAACAGUCACUCCCACUUCUGUGAGCCUGAGAAGGGAGGAACCCAUCACCUCCAUUCUCAGCUGGGGUUUGAAGGAUACUAUUUUGCUUAUGCUAGAAUGAAGUGAAUAAAUGCAUGGAUGUUUUUUAGUCAGGUAGAUCUGAAUUCAGAUUCCGGGUAGGACAAUCUUGGAUUUGUAGUCAUUAUAAAGCUUAGAAAUUUUUCCCAUUUAAUAGUAAUGGCUAAACAAAUUUUUAGGGCUUCUCAAGUAUAAGACAUUGUUGGAAGGGAUGGAUAUAUAUUACUUCAUCUAAAUUCACAAUAAUCCAAUGAAUUGGUGUGUAGAAAUGAGUUAAUACAGGAGGGCUGAGGCCUUAGAAGGCACUGCUUGCAAGGUUGGCCCUUGGCUGGCAUUUGGGAACUUGGAUUUCAGGAGGGUUUCCACCAUUCCUGAUAAGAGAUACUCACUCUAUCUAACUGUUUGUACAAACAAUGUAGUUUCUGCUAACACCCUCUCCCUUUCUGGGAAUUUUGAAGUUUUGGUAUGUGGCAGACAAGUGGUACCUAAGUGACCAGCCCUUGCUCAAAAUUCUAGCCCUGAGUCUCUGAUGAGCUUCUCCGGUAGACUCCAUUUCACCCUUGCCAUAACUCCUUAGAGGAAUUAAGCAUAUCCUGUGUGACUCCCCUGGAAGAGGAUUCUUGGUAGCUUGUGUCUGGUUUCCUCUGGACUUUGCCCCAUGUGCUCUUCCCUUUGCUGAUUUCUAUUUGAGUCUGUUGGGCAUAAUAGAUCAUAGCUGUGGGUAUGACUAUAUGCUGAGUCCUCUGAGUCCCCCUGGUGAGUCAUCAAACCGGGGGUGGGCUUGGGGACCCAUGGCACGGGUAUGUGGCAUUAUUAUUAUCAUCUCUGUUUUAAAGGUGAGGAUGUGGCUUCACGGAGAGGUUACUCCACGAGAGGUAACUAUCUUAAAGUCACACAGCAGGUGUGCAGCACCACCAGGACUUGAACCCAGGAAGGCUAGCUCCAGAGCCCUUGUUUCCCCCUGUGGAGGCUCUAAACGUAUAACACCUCCCUCAUUGUGUGAUCAUGAGGCAAAGGAGGUGUGCUUGCUCAGAACAUACUAAGUGCUCAGUGAAACUCUAUUAUAUUAUUAUGCACCAGUCCUCUAUCCCUCCCGCCUUCUAACCAGGAAAUCUACCUACAUUCCCUACAGGCCAAUGAUAGAUAAGUAGAAUGUCUCUAAGAAGUUGAAACAUGCAUGAGGAGGGAAAUGGAAGGGAACAGCAUGCAACUCAGUGACUUAUUUUUUUA